rnacentral:rRNA from 1 species
UACAGAGGGUGCAAGCGUUGUUCGGAAUUAUUGGGCGUAAAGCGCGUGUAGGCGGCUUGGCAAGUCGGGUGUGAACGCCCUCAGCUCAACUGAGGAAGUGCGCCCGAAACUGCUUUGCUUGAGUGCUGGAGAGGGUCGCGGAAUUCCCCAAGUAGAGGUGAAAUUCGUAGAUAUGGGGAGGAACACCGGUGGCGAAGGCGGCGACCUGGACAGUAACUGACGCUGAGACGCGAAAGCGUGGGUAGCAAACAGG